rnacentral:pre_miRNA from 1 species
AAUAAGAUUCCAGAUUGGAGAAACAUCAUUGAGUGCAGCGUUGAUGAAUUCCCUGCAAUUUUCUGGAAUUUGGGGAUGAUUUCACCAGCGCUGCAUUCAAUCAUGUUUUUUCACUUACUGGAAACGUUGC